rnacentral:sRNA from 1 species
GACUACAUACGGUGUGGGCUUGAUAUUGACGGAACGACCGCCGGGACUGCCAAAACUCAUGUUCAAACUGAUGUCAAAAACAGAAUCUGCUAUUCGCACAUAUUAUAUGAGACAUGAGUUUAAGACAUGGAUAUAAGAGAUAGAAUUGGUUUAUGGCACUGGACUGUAAUAUCAUUGUCUGCUAUCCAGGUGUCGUCGGUUCGACUCCGACCCAGCGGAGUGACUUCUUUUUAGGCUUCAUUUGCUUGUAUUUUUUGGCUUCGGGUUGCAUCGAAAAUGGGUAAUUCAACGACUCCUUCGGAAAGAGUCCUUCCUAUGAUAUUGGUUGCAUAAAGCAUGUAAGACGGCAGAGUUAUAGUAUAUUGAGAAGUUUUGAACCUUUCAAUUGUUGUCAAUACUCAAUAGAAUAUAGC